rnacentral:rRNA from 1 species
UACGUAGGGGGCAGGCGUUGUCCGGAAUCAUUGGGCGUAAAGCGCGUGUAGGCGGCUGAGUAAGUCUGCUCUGAAAGCCCGGGGCUCAACCCCGGGAGGCGGGUGGAUACUGCUCAGCUCGAGUCCGGAAGAGGAGUGUGGAAUUCCUGGUGUAGCGGUGAAAUGCGUAGAGAUCGGCAGGAACACCCAGGGGGAAACCAGUGGACUGGGCAUGUGCUGACGCUCAGGUGCGAAAGCGUGGGGAGCGAACCGG